CAUCUCCAAGAAUUUUUCCUGCUCUUUGCACUCAGUCUCGGCCAGGGCUUUUCCUGAGUCGCAGUUAACUUUGUCCAAGGAGAUACACCAUGUCUAAUCGCCAAACUGGUACCGUUAAGUGGUUCAACGAUGAAAAAGGCUUCGGCUUCAUCACUCCACAAUCCGGUGACGACCUGUUCGUUCACUUCAAAGCUAUCCAAUCCGACGGCUUCAAAAGCCUGAAAGAAGGCCAACAGGUUUCUUUCAUCGCUACCCGCGGUCAGAAAGGCAUGCAAGCUGAAGAAGUUCAAGUUAUCUAACUUGUACUGACUCAGUCGAAAAAACCCCGCCCUUAAAAGCGGGGUUUU
rnacentral:sRNA from 1 species